AUCCCUGACUCUGUCCUGUCUCCCAGGUAUAAUGUAAUAUCCCUGACUCUGUCCUGUCUCCCAGGUAUAAUGUAAUAUCCCUGACUCUGUCCUGUCCCCCAGGUAUAAUGUAAUAUCCCUGACUCUGUCCUGUCUCCCAGGUAUAAUGUAAUAUCCCUGACUCUGUCCUGUCUCCCAGGUAUAAUGUAAUAUCCCUGACUCUGUCCUGUCUCCCAGGUAUAAUGUAAUAUCCACGACUCUGUCCUGUCCCCCAGGUAUAAUGUAAUAUCCACGACUCUGUCCUGUCUCCCAGGUAUAAUGUAAUAUCCCUGACUCUGUCCUGUCUCCCAGGUAUAAUGUAAUAUCACUGACUCUGUCCUGUCUCCCAGGUAUAAUGUAAUAUCACUGACUCUGUCCUGUCUCCCAGGUAUAAUGUAAUAUCCCUGACUCUGUCCUGUCCCCCAGGUAUAAUGUAAUAUCCCUGACUCUGUCCUGUCUCCCAGGUAUAAUGUAAUAUCCCUGACUCUGUCCUGUCUCCCAGGUAUAAUGUAAUAUCCCUGACU